GGGGAUUUAGCUCAGUGGUAGAGCGCUUGCCUAGCAAGCACAAGGCCUGGGUUCAGUCCCCAGCUCCG
rfam:Rattus norvegicus chromosome X, whole genome shotgun sequence.